rnacentral:rRNA from 1 species
AUGGAAAUGGUUGUCCAUCAGUUGGGCUCUUUAUUUUCUGCUUGGUUUUGUGAAAUACAGUUUGAUAAGUUGGAUCAUUCACUUUGGUUUAUAACAGUCCUUACUCUUUUUUCUUUUUGGCAGGUGUUUGCCUUACAGUCAAGGUAUUUUCCAUCCUUAUUCUACACAAGCAAACACAUUGGUCUGACUAAGAAGUUCAAGGAGAAUGACAUGGCUUAUGCUGGGUCUGCAACAUUCAGUUAUGUGGCAUUCAUGUUGACUGAGAAGAUCUUUUCUGUUGUUGACAUGAUUUUGGAGGUUUGGUUCAAUUAG